GAUGAACGCUGGCGGCGUGCCUAAUACAUGCAAGUCGAGCGAAUGGAUUAAGAGCUUGCUCUUAUGAAGUUAGCGGCGGACGGGUGAGUAACACGUGGGUAACCUGCCCAUAAGACUGGGAUAACUCCGGGAAACCGGGGCUAAUACCGGAUAACAUUUUGAACCGCAUGGUUCGAAAUUGAAAGACGGCUUCGGCUGUCACUGAGUGAUGGACCCGCGUCGCAUUAGCUAGUUGGUGAGGUAACGGCUCACCAAGGAAACGAUGCGUAGCCGACCUGAGAGGGUGAUCGGCCACACUGGGACUGAGACACGGCCCAGACUCCUACGGGAGGCAGCAGUAGGGAAUCUUCCGCAAUGGACGAAAGUCUGACGGAGCAACGCCGCGUGAGUGAUGAAGGCUUUCGGGUCGUAAAACUCUGUUGUUAGGGAAGAACAAGUGCUAGUUGAAUAAGCUGGCACCUUGACGGUACCUAACCAGAAAGCCACGGCUAACUACGUGCCAGCAGCCGCAGUAA
rnacentral:rRNA from 1 species